AAAUAAAUGACCAUAUUACCAGAGUAGGACUCUGACAGAUUUUUUUCCUUUUUUCAAGAAUAAAAUUUGUGGAAUCAAUUGUCUUAACAGAAUAAAAUCAAGUAACACAAAUAUAAAAGUAUAAUGAUGAAACAGGCAUAAAGUCUAUUUGUAAAAUGAGAAAAUAUUUUCAGUAAUAUUUUGUUUUAAAAAUACUGUGGCUAGCUGUGAGCAUAAUAUAUAUUAGCUAAGCUCUGCCAGCAUUACUAAUAAUUCAAAAUACUAGAUCAACUGUACUGAAAGAAGAAUGCUGUUGUGAGUAUGUGUAAAAUGCUGUUGUUAACUUGUUGGUUUCCACAGCCCUGAAAAGUGGUAAAAAAUGUAGAAGUAAAAACUUAACUUUACAAAAUUAUCUCUUCCCUUUCUUAGUAUGCAAAAAAUAAUUCUUCCCUCUCUGUGUCAUGAGAUCACUUGACGGAAUAAUCUGGCAAGCUAUUCUGUGCAGUUUAUUUCAUCAUGUUGAGUAUUGGCCAGGAUCUAGGCUUUAGUCCCAAGAAAGUAGAUGCUGUUUUCAGCCUCUCUCAUGAGAGGCAUUUGGAAGAUCCAGCUAUUUUCCUAAUUGAAGAACUAUAAAACUGAGUUGUGAGCCAUUGCUGAAAGAAUGUGAGGAACCCAGUUUAAGAAAGCUGUAUAUUGAUAACAGUGUCUAAGGGGAAAAAAAAAAAAAAAACAGGAAAUAUUUUUAAAUGAGAAAGAGCUAUCAGGAAUUUAAACAGGAAAGACUGAGUACUGUUUGUUGCUGCAGAAUGCUAAUGCAGUAUGCAGAAUGACCAUUGCCCUGAAGAUCUGCGCUUUUGACGGGAAGUCAAUCUGAGGUCAGACAAACCAGGUCAGCAGUGCAGACUAGUCCACAAGGCAUGUAGCUGGUUAAAGAGGCAGAAAAUGGAACUAGAGACAAGGGAGUCAGAUUGCAAAACAGAAUUAUGUUCAGAAGAAGAUCUAGGUCACUGUAAAGAGAGCAAAGUGUGAGAGCCAGAGGAGGCAGGAUACCAAGCCAAGGUUUCCGUUCCUACGGAACUGGAUCUGAUAUUACUUUAUUGUUUAUUUAGAAAGUGGCAAUAUGUUGUUAUACAUGGAAAUACUGUGAGAAAUAAACCUGAUGUUAACAUUGAAUGAGUGCUGCCAAGAUAGCCCAUACUACAGUAGGCCAGUUAGCCUGAAAACAUCCUGGACAAAAUAACAAAACAGGUGCACAAUUCACUUUCUUAUGAACUAACAAUUAGGAAUAAAAUUAAUUCUAAUCAACAUUUUACUGGAUUUUGUUCUCUGGAAAAAAAAAAGUGAAAAUCUGUACAGUUUUUGACUAAGUAUUUCAUGACAUUCAAAUUGAAAUUGCAGCAAUGUGCUUUAUCUGUGAUUCAGACCUUAGAGAUAUUUAAGAUAAGUGAGAUGACAGAUUUUUUUAGAUGUACAUAUUCUUUUGCUUUAUAUGGAUGUGUAAUUUUGUCAUUCAUGACAUUUGUGUAAAUGUGAUGUCCAGAUUCUAACUGUUGUGGAAAGGUUCUACAGAAUACAGGACUAAUUUCUGUUCUGUUCACAUGCUGUUUGAUAUCUUUGAAGUAAAUAUCAUACCACAGCUGAUAAUGUUUGCGCAUGGGAGUGUAGGGGUUGUAGAUGACCUCUGAAGACAUCUAGUCCACCCCCACCCCGCUAAUGCAUGUUCCCUACAAUAAGUUACCCAGGAAGGCAUCCAAGUGGGUUUUGAAUAUCUCCAGAGAAGACUCCACAGCCUUUCUGGGCAGCCUUUUCCAGUGCUCAGUAACCCUCAAAGAAGUUUAUCCUCAUGUUUUGACAGAACUUCCUGUGUUCCAGUUUGUGCCCAUUACCCCUUGUUCUGUUGCUGGGCACCGUUGAAAAGAGCCUGGCCUCAUCUACUUGACUGCUGCCCAUUAGAUAUUUGUAAGCAUUGAUAAGAUCCUCGCUCAGUGUCCUCUGAGCUGAGCAGUUCCAGGUAUCUCAGCUUUUCCUUGUAAGGGAAAUGUUCCAGUCAUCAUCAGGAUGACACACAGGCUGACAAAUCAUUAACUAAUAAUGGGUCUAGCACAUUUGUACAGAAUGACCUAGAGCAGUUAUAAUGCUGGACCAUUUCUGAGAAGAAAUGGCUUCAAGCUGCGCCAGGGAAAGUUCAGGCUGGACGUUAGGAAAUACUACUCUGAAAGGGUGGUCAGGCACUGGAAUGGGCUGCCCAGAGAGGUGGUGGAGUUACCGAGCCUGGUGGUGUUCAAAGAGCGUUUGGAUGUUGUGUUGAGGGACAUGGUUUAGUGAGAACCAUUGGUGAAGGGCAAACAAAUGGUUGAACUGGAUGAUCCUGUGGGUCUUUUCCAACCGUAGCGAUUCUAUGAUUCUAUGAUUCUAAGAUGUGUUUUAUUUCAGCCAUACACAAAACUUUAUGUGUGAGAAUAGAGUAUUAUUCAUUGUGUUAUAGUAUGUAACGACUCCAGAAAUGACUGUAUUAAGAAAUGAAUGAAAAUGUGUAAUGUAACGCUGAGGAAAAAAAUUAUGUACAUAUUAUAUAUAUAUAAUUCCGUAUAUGUGAUAUUUAUGUAGGUAAACAAAGAAUAAGUUUAUGAACAGAUAUUUAUUUCUUCUUGAAGUUUUGAUUAGACUACGAUUGAAAUGCUACUUAAAGAGCUAGUGUGGAACUACCAUAAAAGGAAAUUGAAAAUCUACAGUCAGUGUAAAACUAGUCAAAUGUAAAAACAGUCAUAAAAAUGACUGGGGAGAAUUCUCUAAUAAAAAUGGUAAGGAAUGUGAGAGCCAACAGAAGGAGCUGGCUGCAGUGUCCCUAACUUCACCUUGGACAGAUUCUUCAGAAGGCAUUGCACAGCUGGAAUUCAGAGCAAUCCUCUGAUACCACACACUGAGAAGACUAUUGGAACUUACUUAUCUCAGAUGACAAGUUUUAUAUGGAAAAUCAAACUAGUUGCAGAAUCUGCUCUGCAUGCACUGUUGUGCACUUCAGUGUGAUAAGCAAACCCCUUCCAAUUGCACUUCAAGCAGUCAGGCUCAACAUUUGUCAAGUACAUCUGGAACACCUCAGCCAGGAACCCCAUUCCACAAGACAGGUAUCAUAGAGAGAUGUAAUGAAAAGAG
ensembl:lncRNA